rnacentral:siRNA from 1 species
UACGAGGGAAAUCAUACACAGCGA